rnacentral:rRNA from 1 species
UACGUAGGGGGCAAGCGUUGUCCGGAUUUAUUGGGCGUAAAGAGCGUGUAGGCGGCCCGGUAAGUCCGCUGUGAAAGUCGGGGGCUCAACCCUCGAAAGCCGGUGGAUACUGUAGAGCUUGAGUUCGGGAGAGGUGAGUGGAACUGCGAGUGUGGAGGUGAAAUUCGUAGAUAUUCGCAAGAACACCAGUGGCGAAGGCGGCUCACUGGCCCGAUACUGACGCUGAGGUGCGAAAGCGUGGGGAGCAAACAGG